UACGUAGGGUGCAAGCGUUGUCCGGAAUUAUUGGGCGUAAAGAGCGUGUAGGCGGCCCGAUUAGUCCGCUGUGAAAGUCCAGGGCUCAACCCUGGAAUGCCGGUGGAUACUGUCGGGCUAGAGUCCGGAAGGGGCGAGUGGAAUUCCUGGUGUAGCGGUGAAAUGCGCAGAUAUCAGGAAGAACACCCGUGGCUAAGGCGGUUCUCUAGUACGGUACUGACGCUGAGACGCGAAAGCGUGGGGAGCGAACAGG
rnacentral:rRNA from 1 species